rnacentral:lncRNA from 1 species
CAUUCUGACUUGAAACCUCUCUUCUGAUCCAGGAACAACUAUCCUGAGCUGCUGUUCAUGAUUCAGGUUGGCAUCAAUCAAAUUGGAAGCACAUGAAUUAUACAUUAUUGUUUCUGAGCCACAGUUUUUUGUUUUUAUCUGCUAAAGACAUGAAGAAUGGGAACACUACCAUUGCAUCUCCCAGCCCCAGAGAAGGAUGUUCACUCCCAUGUUCUCACCUUUUCUUCAUCUUUAUUUGAUGGCUAUAACUUUGUCAUUCAUAUUUUUUAAAAAUCGUGGGUGGAUGUUUUGGAUUUUUUUAAGAUAUACAGUAAAUACCAACUUCUUAAAUUUUCCCUCGCUGCUUCCAGAGGAGGCUGGUAUAUUUUUUCUCUGUUCAACAACGAGAGAAGUAUCAAGUUUUAGGCUCCCUUCAAAUCAAGACAGUUCGUGUGUAUCUUUGUGGUUCAUAAUCUGAAAACAAAGCAGAUUCUGUGUGACUGAGAUGGGAUCCUAGGGGCUGGAAACCAUCACUGAUUGCCUGUACUGUCCUUCUCCUGUCGUACCAUACCCUUUUCUUUUAAUAAAGACUUAUGUGAGUAUA